UCCAGGGUAGCCUAGUGGACAUGGCAUCUGCCCGGAAGCGGAACACUGUGGGUUCGAUUCCCAUCCCUGGAC
rnacentral:tRNA from 1 species